GGAGGGGUAAGGGAGAAGGGAGGAGUUAGGGAGUAGGGAGAGGUUAGGGAGUAGGGAGGGGUUAGGGUGUAGGGAGAGGUUAGGGAGUAGGGAGGGGGUAGGGAGUAGGGAGGGGUUAGGGAGUAGGGAGAGGGUAGGGAGUAGGAAGGGGUUAGCGAGUAGGGAGAGGUUAGGAAGUAGGGAGGGGUUAGGGAGUAGGAAGGGGUAAGGGAGUAGGGAGAGGUUAGGGAGUAGGGAGGGGUUAGGGAGUAGGGAGGAGUUAGGGAGGGGUUAGGGAGUAGGGAGUGGUUAGGGAGUAGGGAGGGGUUAGGGAGUAGGGAGGAGUUAGGGAAUAGGAAGGGGUUAGGGAUUACGGAGAGGUUAGG
ensembl:lncRNA